AAAUGCGUAGUUUUCCGACCAGUGAACUAAUUAUUUCACUUUAGCGUUAUCAUAACCUCAGAUUGUACAGAGAUCAUUGUCAACCAUGAAGCCAAGCAAUAUAGGACUGUUGAUUUUGGCACUGCUAUCAGCGAUUCUAUCUUCAUUGAAAGCAGUGGACUGCCCUGAUAACUGGAUUCCAUUCCAUGGCCACUGCUACACAUUUAGCAUCAAUCAGACCAGUUGGUUUCAUGCCACC